AAAAAAUUAAACACGUUACACAGCUAUGGUUGGCGAUGCAUUUUAUUUUCUGAUCAAAUAUCUAACUUUGAUGUAUCGAUGUGGAAUUUUCCAAUUGAACCAUUUACAUUAUAUAUAAAUGACGUUAAGAAAAUAGUGCAAUCCAUAAUUCUGCAUUUUGCAAAUGCUUUCUUAGAAACUUAUUCUGAGUUAGAUAUAUUCAACAAAGGAUUAUUCCACAACACAUGGUGUCACAAUUUUUCACUAAAGCAAUUAUAUGCAUACUACAUAUCACAUAGGUGCAGUAAUCUAGCUCAGCGUUUACCACUUGAUGGUGCAAUUAUCAAUAAUAAAUACCAAUACAAACAGUACAAAUCCUGUUUAAG
rnacentral:lncRNA from 1 species